AAACGACUCUCGGCAACGGAUAUCUCGGCUCUCGCAUCGAUGAAGAACGUAGCGAAAUGCGAUACUUGGUGUGAAUUGCAGAAUCCCGUGAACCAUCGAGUCUUUGAACGCAAGUUGCGCCCGAAGCCAUUAGGUUGAGGGCACGCCUGCCUGGGCGUCU
rnacentral:rRNA from 1 species